rnacentral:rRNA from 1 species
UGAGUAACCUGCCCCAGACUCUGGGAUAAGCACUGGAAACGGUGUCUAAUACCGGAUACGAGCUUCAGCCGCAUGGCUAGGAGCUGGAAAAGAAUUUUCGGUCUGGGAUGGACUCGCGGCCUAUCAGCUAGUUGGUGAGGUAACGGCCCACAAGGCGACGACGGGUAGCCGGCCUGAGAGGGUGACCGGCCACACGUGGGACUGAGACACGGCCAGACCUCCGUACGGGNGCAG